AGUUCGAUUUCGGCUCGCGAUUGAACGCUGGCGGGAUGCUUUACACAUGCAAGUCGAACGGCAGCACGGACUUCGGUCUGGUGGCGAGUGGCGAACGGUGAGUAAUGUAUCGGAACGUGCCUAGUAGCGGGGAUAACUACGCGAAAGCGUAGCUAAUACUGCAUACGCUCCUUCGGGGAAAGCGGGGACCUUCGGGCCUCGCACUAUUAGAGCGGCCGAUAUCGAUUAGUUGGUUGGUGUGUGAACGUCAUCAAGGCGACGAUCCGUAGCUGGUUUGAGGACGACCAGCCACACUGGGACUGAGACACGGCCCAGACUCCUACGGGAGGCAGCAGUGGGGAAUUUUGGACAAUGGGGGAAAACCCCGAUCCAGCUAUCCCGCGUGUGAUGAAGGCCUUCGGGUUGUAAAGCACUUUUGGCAGGAAAGAAACGGCACGGGGAUAAUACCCCGUGCAACUGACGGUACCUGCAGAAUAAGCACCGGCUAACUACGUGCCAGCAGCCGCGGUAAUACGUAGGUGCAAGCGUUAAUCGGAAUUACUGGGUAAAGCGUGCGCAGGCGGUUCGGAAAGAAAGAUGGAACCCCAGAGCUAACUUUGACCCUACUUUAAUCACGAGCUAGAGUGUGUCAGAGGGAGGUGGAAUUCGCGUGUAGCAGUGAAAUGCGUAGAUAUGCGGGAGGAACACCGAUGGCGAAGGCAGCCUCCCGAUAACACUGACGCUCAUGCACGAAAGCGUGGGAGCAAACAGGAUUAGAUACCCUGGUAGUCCACGCCCUAAACGAUGUCAAUUAGCUGUUGGGGCCUUCGGGCCUGGUGAGCAGUUAACGCGUGAAGUUGACCGCCUGGGGAGUACGGUCGCAAGAUUAAAACUCAAAGGAAUUGACGGGGACCCGCACAAGCGGUGGAUGAUGGACGACCGAUAACGCGAAAAACCUUACCUACCCUUGACAUGUCUGGAAUCCCGAAGAGAUUUGGGAGUGCUCGCAAGAGAACUGGAACACGGGUGCUGCAUGGUUGCCGUCAGCUCGUGUCGUGAGAUGCUGGGUUGUCCCGCAACGAGCAACCCUUGUCAUUAGUUAUUGCAGGGCACCUUAAUGAGACUGCCGGUGACAAACCGGAGGAAGGUGGGGAUGACGUCAAGUCCUCAUGGCCUUUUAUGGGUAGGGCUUCACACGUCAUACAAUGGUCGGGACAGAGGGUCGCCAACCCGCGAGGGGAGCCAAUCCCAGAAACCCGAUCGUAGUCCGGAUCGCAGUCUGCAACUCGACUGCGGAAGUCGGAAUCGCUAGUAAUCGCGGAUCAGCAUGUCGCGGUAUCACGUUCCCCGGUCUUGUACACACCGCCCGUCACACCAUGGGAGUGGGUUUUACCAGAAGUAGUUAGCCUAACUGUAAGGGAGGGCGAUUACCACGGUAGGAUUCAUGACUGGGGUGAAGUCGUAACAAGGUAAAU
rnacentral:rRNA from 1 species